AACGAACGCUGGCGGCAGGCUUAACACAUGCAAGUCGAGCGAGGACUUCGGUCCUAGCGGCGAACGGGUGAGUAACGCGUGGGAACGUGCCCCUUUCUCCGGAAUAACCCAGGGAAACUUGGACUAAUGCCGGAUACGCCCUUCGGGGGAAAGAUUUAUCGGUGAGGGAUCGGCCCGCGUUGGAUUAGGUAGUUGGUGGGGUAAUGGCCUACCAAGCCGACGAUCCAUAGCUGGUUUGAGAGGAUGAUCAGCCACACUGGGACUGAGACACGGCCCAGACUCCUACGGGAGGCAGCAGUGGGGAAUCUUGGACAAUGGGGGAAACCCUGAUCCAGCCAUGCCGCGUGAACGAUGAAGGCCUUAGGGUUGUAAAGUUCUUUCAGCAGGGAAGAUAAUGACGGUACCCGCAGAAGAAGCCCCGGCUAACUCCGUGCCAGCAGCCGCCGUAACAC
rnacentral:rRNA from 1 species